CUGUGGUUCCUGUAUGAAGACA
rnacentral:miRNA from 1 species